UGUGUGUGUGUGUGCGUGCGUGUGUGUGUGAGUGUGUAACCAGAUAUCUUUUACUGCUGCUGUAUAUAUACCUGGGCUGGUAUGGCUGAUGCCUACGGUAGGAGCCAGGCUGUCUCCGCGGAGUCCACGGUAACAUAGUGUAGAGGAGGGGGGUUGGGCUAUCAGGAGGAGGUCAGAGGUCAAGGUUCAGUCCAAGGCAGGUCAGAUCCCCACGGUGGCAAUUAAAAAACACUUUGAAAGGAUGUAACAACCACAGAAAAACAAAUUUUGUUCACGUUUGCUUGAUAUUAACAAUUAACACUUAUAUAUCAGAUAAUACACGUAAAAACGGGAAGAUAAUGCACUAGCUGGCAAAAUGUUAGUAUAUGAUAUGAAAUAGCUCAUUAUGUUGUUUUGUUAUGAGGUGCUCUGGUGUAUCCCAAAUACCCGGUGUAAAGUUAUUACGCAUCUAUAAUCUACCUCUCUGACCCACAGACUUCAGUCCAAACGCAUGCACAUACACACACACAUACCAGUUUGUGUGAUUGCUGUCAGUGGUGCAUUGGAUGAGUGCACGGAACAGCUGCUAGUGGUCAUGUGAUCAAGGCAUUUUGUGUGUGUGUGUGUGCGUGUUUGUGUGUGUGCAUGAAUCUGUGUGUGUGUGUGUGUGUGUGUGUGUGUGUGGCACAGAGAGUGGUCGACGCCCUGGUUGUCCCAGUCAGUGUGAGGGUGAUCGCCCGUGUACCCCCGCAUGUCCUUCAGACGGUUGAUGGUUGACAGGGUUUAGUCUUUGAGAAAAUCUGAAAGGUCAUCUCUGGUCCUUCUUUACCGUGGCUCCACUAUUCAGUGUGACCCCUGAAACAAAGAAAGGAUGGUUAUGGAGGAGCGGGGGUCUAGAGAUAGGGGCGGCGGGGCCCCUGCCACAGCCAACGGCACGGAGAGGAGGCAGAUAUUCGUGGAGCUAGGAGAGCAGAACUUCGACGCCAUCCGCCUCUCGGCCUACAGGACAGCCUGCAAGCUGAGAUACGUCCAAAAGAAGUGCAACUUGCACCUGGUGGACGUGUACCACGUGAUCGAGGCGGUGCGGGACGUGGGGCUGAACGCGGUGGAGCUCGCCGCCGGCAUCUCCAACACGCGGCUGGAGAACCUGGUGUCGCUGCUCUUCAACCAGCUGGCCAAGAGGCUGCCCACCACCCACACCGUGGACCCCCGCCACAGCACCGCCCUGCUGGUCGACUUCCUGCUGGCUGCCGUCGACAGUGAGGCCGGUGGGCGGCUCACCGUGCUCUCAGUCAAGGCCAUGCUGGCCAUGCUGUGUGGGGGGAAGCUCCUGGACAAGCUGCGCUAUGUGUUCUCCCUGGUGUCGGACUCCAACGGCGUGCUGACUCCGUCCAAGUUCGAGUCCUUCCUGCGGGAGGCCCUGAAGCUGCCCACCGCCGUGCACGAGGGGCCCUCCUUCGGCUACACACACAGCGCGGCCCGCUCCUGCUUCCCACAACACAAGAGAGUGACCCUGAACAUGUUCCUGGACAUCGUGGCCGACCCCCCUCCCCAGUGCCUCCUGUGGGUGCCUCUGAUGCACAGGCUGGCCGACGUGGAGCAUGUGUACCACCCGGUGACGUGCUCCUUCUGCCGUAGCCACGGCAUCACCGGCUUCCGCUACCGCUGCCUCCGUUGCCGUGGUUACCAGCUCUGCCAGGACUGCUUCUGGCAAGGCAACGCCAGCGGUUCCCACAGCAACCAGCAUCAGAUGAAGGAGCACACAUCCUGGAAGUCCUCAGCAUCAAAGCUGGGCCGCGCGCUGAGCCGGACCCUGGGCUGUGUGUCCUCCAGAGAGCCCCCCCGGCCCACCUACCCCGAGGAGCCCGAGAGGACCCUCAACAUGGCCAACAUCGUCCCUGCUCGCCCGGCGGUGAACCCUAGCGAGGCCAUGUUGGUGUCCACAGCCGCCCCAAGCUCUCCUAAAAGCUUGCCCGCCGCUCGCCGCAUGAACGAGGAGCACGCUCUGAUCGCAGCCUACGUCAACCGCCUGCAGACCAGCCCCCCGGCCCUGGACAGUCCCAGCCGGCAGGACGAGGAGCACAAGCUCAUCGCCCGCUAUGCCACGCGCCUGGCCGAGACGGACCACCCCGGGGCCAUACCCAACAGGAGUAUCAACUUUGAUGUGAACAAACAGCAGAGGGAGCUAAUCGCCCAGCUGGAAAGAAAGAACCGGGAGAUCCUGGAGGAGAUCCAGCGGCUGCGCACGGAGCACGACGCGGCGUGCGCGCCCAGCCCCGACAAGGGCUGCACCAACCCCGCACUGCUGGCCGAGCUCCGGCUGCUCAGGCAGAGGAAGGAUGAGCUGGAGCAGAGAAUGUCUUCCCUGCAGGAGAGCAGGAGGGAGCUGAUGGUACAGCUAGAGGGACUGAUGAAGCUCCUCAAGGACGAGGAGCAGAGACAGGCAGCACAGGCAGCUGGCUCCUCCCAGCCCUCUCCCUCUCGGCCAAUCCCAGUGGCCACUCGCUCGCCGGGCCCCUCCCCUCCCCUGACGCACCCCCACCACGCCCCUCAGGACUCCCUCGCCGGCGUGGGGGGGGAUGUGCGCGACGCCUUCGCCCACGGCCCACAGUACGCUGGGAUAGGCUCCAGCCCCACGCAACCCUGGCCAGGAAUGAGCCGGACCCAGACGCAACCUGAGGAACGAUCUGCUAGUGGCGGCCGACUCCAUCACCACCACCGUGUCCUCCCUGGUGAAGGAGCUGCACUCUGAUGAAGGUCGGGAGGAAGAGGAGAGACUGCUGAACGGGAAGGAUAGAGGUUAGGGUGAACACCAGAAGCAAAGUAUGCUGCCAAGUCACUCUACUGUAAGGUUCACCCACAGCCAAAGAAGACAUAUGUAUUAUAUACAUAAUCGGCAGCCAAUGGCAUUGGUGCUCCACUGCCAAUCAACGAAUCAUGAUGCUGGACACCAAAUGACCCCGCCGCCCCUUCCUUCCCCAUUAAGCUCCCACCUACUGAUGUGUAACUGUGAUUGCGUUGUGUCUCAUCACUGUUUUGUGUGGUUUUAGUUUGGCUUUUGGAUCUUGAUUUGAUCGAACGCAGCUUAUUUGAGGAUUCCUAAAUCCUGCUGGUUGGUGCUGUAGUCGUGCGCUUUGUGUUUAGAAGCUGUUGGUGGCUUGUGUAAGUGAGAGGGAGAGAGGACGGACACAUUAAGAGAGGGUUGCUCUGACAUUUGAAAAAAUGGAAGUGUACAGAAAAUGUCGAGAGAUGUUGUGAUGGUGCUGAGGUGAGGGACUCCAAGGACAGAAGGAAAUGGGUUCAUGGAGAAAUGGCUAUCAGAGUUUUAAAAUGUUCCAUGUAAUCGGCACUGUGUGCUCAGUAUUUAUUGCCUUGCUUUUGAUUCUGAGUUAGAUUUUGACUUUGGACACUUAGUCAGUGUGUUAAUGUGGAUCCGCUGAUUUUUGCCUGUUUUGUAUGUGCAUGUGUGUGUGUGUUUGUGUGUGUGUGUGCCCGCGUAGAGCAUUGUAUGGAUGAGACUUCUCCCACUGGUUCUGGUGGCCACAUUGUUUCCUAGGACUACCAGUUAGAGGUAACACCGGUACUAACAGAACAGAGCGCGGCCCAGCUUUCUUACGCAAUCUCACUAAUCAGAUUUAAGAUUAGCCUAAAGUCUGAUGGGAGAUGAGGUCAAAUCUGUGUAAACGAGGCUUUGUUUAACCUCAAUUUGUUUCAUCCAAUCAUGUUGCUAUAGACAGGGGAAAUGCACCUUUUAAAAUGGAAAGGUUUUCUUCUGUACAAUAUCUCUGUGCCGUCUCCCCCCAGAAGUUAUGCUGUAACGCAGUAGGGUGGUUGGAUCCCAGAUCAGAAAAACACUGGAUGAUGGAUUAUUUUUGUAUAUACUUGGAAAUAAUUGCUUGAAAGGCCUGUUUUACAAGCAGGUGUGAGGUUGGUCAUUAUGAGCCGUUGCAAAACCCAUCGCCCUGUGACAACCCGAGUGGAUCCACCGUCCGUGGAUGACCUCCCCAGUGGGUGGGGGUGAUUGGUCAGACAUCUGGGUGGACCCUCAAUCACUAUUUUGUCUCACACCUGGUUGUAAUAUAGGCAUCCUCUAGGCCAGACAGCUUGCACAUACCCAUCAUGCACCUCCGUUGAGUCUGUUGAGUUGAUCUGUACUUCUCACCACACGACAACUGCAUGAGUGAGUGUCUUCUAAACAUCCCAACAAUCAAUUAUUGGAUUGCUCUUCAACCAACUGCUCCCCAGACAAAGGCUAUAAUGCGUUCAGCUCGCCUGGACAGCAGAAGCCAGGAUUCUCCUUGAGGUGUUGUCUAUUUUACACCAAAUAACCGACUGAAUGAAUAAACCGGUGACGGAAAUAAUCAGUGAACAAAUGACUGAGUUAAUGAUUUUAUGAGUACUUCGGUGUGUGUGUGUGUGUGUGCAUGUGAAAGUACCAACCUGACCUAAAGGCCCUGCAGGUCUCCCAUGUUAGGUACAUUGUCAUUUGAAGUGUGGAUCGCUGUUUCUUCUAUAAAUAAAUAUUAUUUCACACCAACC